UACGAAGGGGGCUAGCGUUGCUCGGAAUCACUGGGCGUAAAGGGUGCGUAGGCGGGUCUUUAAGUCAGGGGUGAAAUCCUGGAGCUCAACUCCAGAACUGCCUUUGAUACUGAGGAUCUUGAGUACGGGAGAGGUGAGUGGAACUGCGAGUGUAGAGGUGAAAUUCGUAGAUAUCGGGAGGAACACCAGUGGCGAAGGCGGCGAUCUGGGAAGAUACUGACGCUGAGGUGCGAAAGCGUGGGGAGCAAACAGG
rnacentral:rRNA from 1 species